ensembl:snoRNA
CUGCAUACACUGAUAGACUUUGAACAAUUUGCUGUUGUUCUUUUGGUUUGCACUAGGAUGCAAAAGAAAAUACUCCCUGUGCUUUCUGUCUUCUUGGCAGCCCAGAUUGAAUUGGGGGAAUACAUUA